GAUGAACGCUGGCGGCGUGCUUAAUACAUGCAAGUCGAACGGAAAGGCCCUGCUCUUGUGGCGUGCUCGAGUGGCGCACGCGUGAGUAACACGUGUGUAUCACGCCCCUGUCUUUGGGAUAACUCCUCGGAACUGGGGCUCAUACCCGGGAGGAGCUCCUGCUGCAUGGUGUUGGUUGGAAAAUUUCGGCGGUGGGGGAUGGACUGGCGGGUUAUCAGCUUGUUGGUGGGGUAGGGGAUUCCCAAGGCUAUGACGGGUAGCCGGCCUGAGAGGGGGACCGGCCACAAUGGGACUGAGGGACGCACCAGACGCGUACGUGACGCAGCGGUGGGGAAUAUGGCACAACGGGCGGAAGCCUGAGGCGGCAACGCUCCGUGCGUGAUGAUGUCUUUCGGGGUGUAAACCGCUUUCGAAGGUAACGAAGCGUUCGUGACGGUAAUGGGUAAAGAAGCAACGGCUAACUACGUG
rnacentral:rRNA from 1 species